rnacentral:ncRNA from 2 species
ACUGACUUAAAAGCGCCAGGGCACUUUUCUCUUGCCAUAUUCGAUAUAAAGAGAAAAGUGUUGACGAGGUGGAGGUUAAUCGAGUAAUCGGCGGAUGCCUCCCGGUGCCAUCACCACCGUUAAAGGCACAUAAUAAAACCGGGAAGCGAUUCCCGGGACAAAAAGUGCCGGGUGAUGAA